ACUUGGAGUGCUAAGCUUGAGAGUACGGAAGCAAAUGUCAUACAAUGCUUCGUUGUCAAGAACCAUACACUCAUCAGCGUUCUCAACAAGCUGGUGCACAGAUAGUGUUGCAUUGUAUGGCUCAACAACAGUGUCAGACACCUUAGGAGAUGGGAACACAGAAAAAGUCAUCAUCAUACGGUCAGGGUACUCUUCCCUGAUCUUUGAUAUCAACAAAGUUCCCAUUCCAGAACCAGUUCCUCCU
rnacentral:lncRNA from 1 species